AAUGAACGCUGGCGGCGUGCUUUACACAUGCAAGUCGAGCGAGGCGUGUAGCAAUACACAGUCGAGCGGCGAACGGGUGAGUAACGCGUGGAUAACCUGCCCUGAGGUGGGGAAUAACCCGGGGAAACUCGGGCUAAUACCGCAUGAUACCUAGCGGUCAAAGCGGGGUCGCAAGAUCUCGUGCCACAGGAGGGGUCCGCGUUCGAUUAGCUAGUUGGUAGGGUAAUGGCCUACCAAGGCGACGAUCGAUAGCCGGCCUGAGAGGGUGAUCGGCCACACUGGAACUGAGACACGGUCCAGACUCCUACGGGUGGCUG
rnacentral:rRNA from 1 species